rnacentral:lncRNA from 1 species
GAGGCUGCCUCUUGGUUCAUCAACUCCUUGCAGAAGACACUUGGAGAGGAGCAAGAGAGCUGCUCUAACUCCAAGCUCUCUCUCCUGGAGGACGAGGUGGCCUUUCCUAGGCCGAGAGAAGCUGUCCUGCUGAUGGAAAGUCAGAAUGGCAUGGGGCAUGGUGCAAACCUCAGGCUCUUGUGGAGUCUAGUUUGCAGACACUGAUGCGAGGCAAAG